rnacentral:rRNA from 1 species
GAUGAACGCUAGCGGCAGGCUUAAUACAUGCAAGUCGUGGGGCAGCAGGGGUGUAGCAAUACAUCUGCUGGCGACCGGCAAACGGGUGCGUAACACGUACGCAACCUUCCCGUUACUGUGGCAUAGCCCAGGGAAACUUGGAUUAAUACCACAUAUUAUAUAGAGAGGGCAUCCUUUUUAUAUCAAAGCUUCGGCGGUAACGGAUGGGCGUGCGGUUGAUUAGGUAGUUGGCGGGGUAACGGCCCACCAAGCCUACGAUCAAUAGCUGAUGGGAGAGCAUGAUCAGCCACACGGGCACUGAGACACGGGCCCGACUCCUACGGGAGGCAGCAGUAAGGAAUAUUGGGCAAUGGACGAAAGUCUUACCCAGCCAUGCCGCGUGAAGGAUUAAGGUCCUCUGGAUUGUAAACUUCUUUUCUCUGGGGCGAAAACCAGCUAUUCUUAGCUAUUUGACAGUACCAGAGGAAUAAGCACCGGCUAACCCCGUGCCAGCAGCCGCCGUAACAC